CAAUAGCGUAUAUUUAAGUUGUUGCAGUUAAAAAGCUCGUAGUUGGAUUUCGGUUAAGAGCGACCGGUCCGCCGUUUGGUGUGCACUGGUUGGUUUUAACUUCCUGUAGAGGACGUGCUCUGGGUUUAACGACCUGGACUCGGAGUCUACGUGGUUACUUUGAAAAAAUUAGAGUGUCCAAAGCGGGCUUACGCUUGAAUAUUUCAGCAUGGAAUAACACUAUAGGACUCCUGUCCUAUUUCGUUGGUCUCGGGACGGGAGUAAUGAUUAAGAGGAACAGUUGGGGGCAUUCGUAUUUCAUUGUCAGAGGUGAAAUUCUUGGAUUUAUGAAAGACGAACUUCUGCGAAAGCAUUUGCCAAGGAUGUUUUCAUUAA
rnacentral:rRNA from 1 species